GUGCUAAUUGGGACUGGGAAGGGUUUGCCAAGGAUUGGAGCUGCAGACUCCAGUGCUCAGAGCAGCAGGAUGGCACUUGGUGUCUGGAUGCCUUUGGAGUUGCACAUACAGCUUCUUUAUGAAAGGAAGAAACUGGAAGACAACAAAGGGUCAGAGAGGAGGGAGAAGGCUGUGCUAAACAAGGUGCUGGCAGUGUCAGGAGCUGGCCUCCUGCCCUCUGGGUUGAGAGAUAUCGAGUGCUGCUUUGCCAAGAGCUGCUUUCUUGAGCCCCUCCAAGGUUCUCCUAUUUGGACUCCGCUGCAGAUCCCUUGCCCUGGUUCUCCUCCUGUUGCCAAGGCCCAGGCUACUGUCUGGGCAAGAGCACACACAGGGUUUGAAACCUUCCAGAACAAAAUGCCAGUCUACCUCCUCCUGUCUGGAAUCUAAGGCCUAACCCAUCACUGCACCUGAUGACAAGGACCUGCAGAGCUGCAGAGAAAAAGCAUGUCAAUGUGGAAUGUAUAAUUUACAGUCAAGCUGGAAGACUACAGCAACUUAAAUGGUACUAGGCACGGAACGGGCAGGAAAUCAAAAGUCAUCAAGGAAAGUUGGAGGAUAUUCCAGAGAUUGCAACAUAAGCCCCAGAGGUUCAAUGUAUUUGCUGAGUAAGGGCCUUUUAGAAAAACAAGUCUGUGGGUUGAUAUUAUUGGCACAUUCCCUCCAAAUGACAGACAUCAUCUCUUCUCCUGAAU
rnacentral:sRNA from 1 species